rnacentral:rRNA from 1 species
UGGGGAAUUUUGGACAAUGGGGGGAAACCCUGAUCCAGCCAUCCCGCGUGUGCGAUGAAGGCCUUCGGGUUGUAAAGCACUUUUGGCAGGAAAGAAACGUCGCGGGUUAAUACCCCGCGAAACUGACGGUACCUGCAGAAUAAGCACCGGCUAACUACGUGCCAGCAGCCGCGGUAAUACGUAGGGUGCAAGCGUUAAUCGGAAUUACUGGGCGUAAAGCGUGCGCAGGCGGUUCGGAAAGAAAGAUGUGAAAUCCCAGAGCUUAACUUUGGAACUGCAUUUUUAACUACCGGGCUAGAGUGUGUCAGAGGGAGGUGGAAUUCCGCGUGUAGCAUGAAAUGCGUAGAUAUGCGGAGGAACACCGAUGGCGAAGGCAGCCUCCUGGGAUAACACUGACGCUCAUGCACGAAAGCGUGGGGAGCAAACAGGAUUAGAUACCCU